rnacentral:rRNA from 1 species
AGUGAACGCUGGCGGUAGGCCUAACACAUGCAAGUCGAACGGCAGCACAGUAAGAGCUUGCUCUUACGGGUGGCGAGUGGCGGACGGGUGAGGAAUACAUCGGAAUCUACUUUUUCGUGGGGGAUAACGUAGGGAAACUUACGCUAAUACCGCAUACGACCUACGGGUGAAAGCAGGGGAUCUUCGGACCUUGCGCGAUUGAAUGAGCCGAUGUCGGAUUAGCUAGUUGGCGGGGUAAAGGCCCACCAAGGCGACGAUCCGUAGCUGGUCUGAGAGGAUGAUCAGCCACACUGGAACUGGGACACGGUCCAGACUCCUACGGGAGGCAGCAGUGGGGAAUAUUGGACAAUGGGCGCAAGCCUGAUCCAGCCAUACCGCGUGGGUGAAGAAGGCCUUCGGGUUGUAAAGCCCUUUUGUAGGGAAAGAAAAGCAGCAGGUUAAUACCCCGCUGUUCUGACGGUACCCAAAGAAUAAGCACCGGCUAACUUCGUG